UGUGUCCUCUGAAGGCAGCAUUUUCCAGUUUUCGGAUGCAAUCAUGUUUCCAGAAGUGUGCCAUAUGCAUCAGACGUUCAGCCAACGGUCCGUGGGCGUGACGUAUGAGGCUGAGGCUGCGUCCGAAAACCUAUGUAGCUGUCUUGCUGCCUUGCUGUCUUAUAAGAAAAUGACUUGUACUCCAAUGUUUACUCCGAAGGCAGCAUUUUCCAGUUUUCGGACACAGCCCGUGACUACCAGAGAAGAGGAAGGAGGGAAAGUUAUUUUGAUUAAAGGUUAUGAGGGCAUAUGAAUAAAAUAAAAAAACAACAACAACAACAAAUAAUGAUGUGCACGGAUAAAUCAUUUAUAAGAAAUACUGUAAAAUUCGAUAAAAUUUACGUCAGAAAAAGAGCGGGGUCUGCGUCUAGGUGCUAUGCUCUCAACUCAUCAAGGGUUGCAGCAUCUAUUAUAAUGGGUUUUAUUUGCUUUUGACGUGCCGCGACGCAUCGCUCGUAGACAAGUGUUGUAAUAGUGAAAAGUGAAAGUGUUUUACAGUACAAUAAAACCUCAGUAGGCCGCCAUUAGGUGUUCUUAAGACCUUUUGCUCAGUGCAGGUGUUAAUCUUCAUUCAUCCCUCAGCAAGCACACGGGAAAAGCCCUUUCUGACCAUUCAUCUUACACCAGACAAUAGCCAUUUGUACGGAUGUCACUUCCUCAACUUGGGAGAAGAAAAAGUGGAAUCAUAUUGAAUAGUCCCAGGAACGUAAUGCUUCUCCAUGGCAGGGCUACUUGGCUCGGAGCACCGGCUGGACACAGGAGCUGUGGGCCCUCGCUCUUUCUGCUGUAUGUUUACAUCUCUUCUGGAACUUGGUGUAUCAGAGGUCUUUCUCUCUGGCAUCCAAACACACGUCCAAACUCUAAUCCUUCUCAAGGGAAUAACAACAUAGAGCCUGCAUGUGUGAAAUCUGUCAUUUAAUGUACAGACACAUCUAUAUUUUUAAGUUGCAGUAGUUUUAUGCAUUCCAGGCUGGAAAAGUAUUGAACCUACCUGGAGUUGAUCGGUUGAAAGGCUCGACAGCAAAGCCAUCCAGUUUCACCCACUCUCCCCCUGCAGGAAAAAAAGAGCAGUGUGGUUACACAUAAAGAUGCACAAUAAAUCGGUACCAUGUUGGUUAUUGGCCGAGUUAUUUACAUUUAUCGUUAUGGACAGAUAUUUGAUGUUUAAUUGUACAUGCUCAAUUCCCAUAUUUUUACAUUUAAAGACAACUUUAAAAUAAUUCAUUAUCAUAUAAUAUUUUUGAAUGUAAUCUUUAGAAAAUCUCAAAUUAUCAAUUUUUCAGGCUUUACAUUAUAAUGUUGUGAUGUCUAAAUUAACUUGAUUUUUUUAUUAUUAAGAAAAAAAUUACAUUGCUUUAUCAUGCAUCCCCAGAAGUAAAACACAUGUGACCAUAUCACUCAUUUACAGCAAUUUCCUCUUAUUUAUAGGCACUUUUUUGAUUGAAUUAUCGGACAAAACAUAAUUACACAUGCAUAUAAAACAUAAAGGUGUAAAAAAAAAAAAAAAAAAAAAAAAAACGUAGCAUACACCGCAAUCAAAACAACCAGCUAUCCUUAAAACAGGGAGCUGUAAAACAAGAUAUGUUUACUUCUGCUAAAAACAUCCUCAGCCAAAAACAUUUAUGAUCUGUUUGCAGGAUUAUUAAUGUGCUUUUGUAUUAUGACAGAUGUUUUGGUGAAAGUGCUGUGGGACAUGCAGCAAUAUGCCCAGAUCCUGUUUGUUGGAGACGGACAUGGACAUAUUGUGAAAAAAUUUAUGUGGCGUACGUUGAACGAGUGACUGGCUACCACAACACAAGGCUCGAGGCUCUUGACUCGAGUUCUGGGUUGGAUACAAAAACAAGGACUGGCCACAUGAAUGCUCUAUCUUUGGGGAUUUAAAUCUCACCAGAUGCCAACAGCGAAUGGAGUUAUUUGGAAAACAGAAAUGACUAUAUAUCUUUACACCCUGCAGUCUACACUUGAGUGUGUGUUAGUCAUCCAGUCUGGUUUAAUAUUGUGACAUGAACAAAAAGCAUAGAGAGCCUCAAAGUUAUAAAUACUUUCCUUGUAAAAGCCUUAUAAUAAUGUGUGCUAGAGUCUAACAAGUCUAAAUUAAUGAGGCCAAUAAAACUGUAUAUUUAGACAUUUAAUGACAUCCACGUACAGUGACCACUAAAAUGAUGUGUACGGUUAAGCUAUAUACUUAAAAAUGAAUGAAAGAUUCCAAGAUUUGUUUUUACUUUUAUUCAGCAAGGGUGCAUUAAAUUGAGAAUGUUAUGAAACAUUUCUAUUUCAAAUAAAUGUUGUUCUUUGGAACGUU